AUUAUUUUAAGAUUAUUUUUUAUUGUUGAAAAAAUUAAAAAUAAAUUGUUUUUAACAAAAAUUAAAAUUUAUAAUAUUUCAUUUUUUGGUUUUUUGUUUUAAAUUAAAAUAAUAAAUAUGGGGGAAAAAAAAAUUUUGUUAUAAAUUAUAUUAGUUUAUUUUAAUUAAAAAUAUUUUUUAUUAAAUUUGUUUUUUUUAUUUUUUUAUAAAAAAUAUUAAUUUAAUUAUUAUUAUUGAGUUUAAUUUAGUUAUUUUUAAAAAAAUUUUGUAUAAAAUAAAUUUGAUAAUAAAUGUUUUUUAAAUUCUUUGGGGGUUUAGUUUUUGAUUUUUUGUUUCUGCUCAUUGUUAAAUAAAAGCACUUUUAGCGUGAUUGGUCAAAGGUAA
rnacentral:rRNA from 1 species